rnacentral:tRNA from 1 species
GGAGUUGUGGCUCAGUGGUAGAGCGCUUGCCUAGCAUGCAUGAGGCCCUGGGUUCAAUCCCCAGCACCA